GGCGCAAGCCUGAUGCAGCGACGCCGCGUGAGGGAUGACGGCCUUCGGGUUGUAAACCUCUGUUAGCAUCGAAGAAGCGAAAGUGACGGUAGGUGCAGAGAAAGCGCCGGCUAACUACGUGCCAGCAGCCGCGGUAAUACGUAGGGCGCGAGCGUUGUCCGGAAUUAUUGGGCGUAAAGAGCUUGUAGGCGGUUGGUCGCGUCUGCUGUGAAAGGCUGGGGCUUAACCCUGGUUUUGCAGUGGGUACAGGCUAACUAGAGUGCAGUAGGGGAGACUGGAAUUCCUGGUGUAGCGGUGGAAUGCGCAGAUAUCAGGAGGAACACCGAUGGCGAAGGCAGGUCUCUGGGCUGUAACUGACGCUGAGAAGCGAAAGCAUGGGGAGCGAACAGGAUUAGAUACCCUGGUAGUCCAUGCCGUAAACGUUGGGCACUAGGUGUGGGGGACAUUCCACGUUUUCCGCGCCGUAGCUAACGCAUUAAGUGCCCCGCCUGGGGGUACGGCCGCAAGGCUAAAACUCAAAGAAAUUGACGGGGGCCCGCACAAGCGGCGGAGCAUGCGGAUUAAUUCGAUGCAACGCGAAGAACCU
rnacentral:rRNA from 1 species